CUUUGAUACCACAGAUGUUAUGUGGGCUUUGGUCCAUGUGUUGGGUGCAACUGUCAAAUAACCUCAGCAACUAUGGGCAAUGGACUAGCCUAUAGCCUAGGUGGUCGCCUAGGAGCCUAGGUGACCGCCUAGAAGAUAGACCCAGUACAAAUUCGCUCAAUCAUUCUUUGAUUUAAGUACUUCAUUUUUACUAUUAGAUUUUUGAACUAUUUCAACAAGUUAACAUUUUAACCUUCCUUCAGGUAUGUAUAUUGUGAAAGUUUAACAAUCAGGUUUCCUUCGAGAUACCUUAUAAUUUGUUAAAAUUUUACUAAAUUUGUAAUAAUAACAUACAUUAUUGACCAUCCUCCACUGGGUAUAUUGUACUGUACAGCA
rnacentral:lncRNA from 1 species